UACAGAGACCUCAAGCGUUAUCCGGAAUCAUUGGGCGUAAAGCGUACCGAUAGGUGGUUUUGUUAGUCUUGGGUGAAAGCACGAAGCUCAACUUCGUAGUUUGCUCAAGAUACUGCAAGGCUAGAGGGGCAAAGAGGUCCUUGGAACGAACGGUGUAGUAGUGAAAUGCGUUGAUAUCGUUCGGAACACCGAAAGCGAAGGCAGAGGACUGGGUGCCACCUGACACUGCUAGGACGAAAGCGUGGGUAGCGAAUGGG
rnacentral:rRNA from 1 species